rnacentral:rRNA from 1 species
GACGAACGCUGGCGGCGUGCUUAACACAUGCAAGUCGAACGGAAAGGCCCUGCUUUUGUGCGGUGCUCGAGUGGCGAACGGGUGAGUAACACGUGAGUACCCUGCCCUUGCCUUUGGGAUAACUUCAUGAAACUUGGGCUCAUCCCGGAUAGGAGCUCCUGCCUCUUGGUGGGCGUGGGACAGUUUCGCCGGUUGGGGAUGGACUCGCGGCUUAUCAGCUUGUUGGUGGGGUAGUGGGUCACCAAGGCUUUGACGGGUAGCCGGCCUGAGCGGGUGACCGGCCACAUUGGGACGGAGAUACGGCACAGCCUACAACGGGAGGCAGCAGUGGGGAAGAGUGCACAAUGGGCGGAAGGAUGAUGCAGCAACGCCGCGUGGGGGAUAACGGCCAGCGGGUUGGAUAGCGCAUUCGCCUGUGACGAAGCGUGAGUGACGGUAAUGGGUGAAGAAGCACCGGCUAACUACGUG